UACGUAGGUGGCGAGCGUUGUCCGGAUUUACUGGGCGUAAAGAGCGCGCAGGCGGUCGUACAAGUCGCGUGUGAAAGCCCCUGGCUCAACUGGGGAGGGUCACGCGAUACUGUUCGACUCGAAGGCAGGAGAGGGAAGUGGAAUUCCCGGUGUAGUGGUGAAAUGCGUAGAUAUCGGGAGGAACACCAGUGGCGAAGGCGGACUACCUGCCUGUUCUUGACGCUGAGGCGCGAAAGC
rnacentral:rRNA from 1 species